rnacentral:rRNA from 1 species
AUUGAACGCUGGCGGCAGGCUUAACACAUGCAAGUCGAGCGGGGUGAUGGUGCUUGCACUAUCACUUAGCGGCGGACGGGUGAGUAAUGCUUAGGAAUCUGCCUAUUAGUGGGGGACAACAUCUCGAAAGGGAUGCUAAUACCGCAUACGUCCUACGGGAGAAAGCAGGGGAUCACUUGUGACCUUGCGCUAAUAGAUGAGCCUAAGUCGGAUUAGCUAGUUGGUGGGGUAAAGGCCUACCAAGGCGACGAUCUGUAGCGGGUCUGAGAGGAUGAUACGCCAAACUGGGACUGAGACACGGCCCAGACUCCGACGGGAGGCAGCAGUGGGGAAUAUUGGACAAUGGGGGGAACCCUGAUCCAGCCAUGCCGCGUGUGUGAAGAAGGCCUUAUGGUUGUAAAGCACUUUAAGCGAGGAGGAGGCUCUUUUGGUUAAUACCCAAGAUGAGUGGACGUUACUCGCAGAAUAAGCACCGGCUAACUCUGUGCCAGCCGCCGCAGUAA